rnacentral:rRNA from 1 species
GACGAACGCUGGCGGCGUGCCUAAUACAUGCGAGUCGAACGCUUCUUUCCUCCCGAGUGCUUGCACUCAAUUGGAAAGGGGAGUGGCGGACGGGUGAGUAACACGUGGGUAACCUACCCAUCAGAGGGGGAUAACACUUGGAAACAGGUGCUAAUACCGCAUAACAGUUUAUGCCUCCUGGCUUAAGAGUGAAAGGCGCUUUCGGGUGUCGUUGAUGGAUGGACCCGCGGUGAAUUAGCUAGUUGGUGGGGGACCGGCUCAACAAGGCCACGGUGCAUAGCCGACCUGAGAGGGUGAUCGCCCACACGGUGAGUGAGACACGGCCCAGACUCCUGCGGGAGGCCGCAGUAGGGAAUCUUAGGGAAUGGACGAAAGUGGGAUCGUGCAACGCCGGGUGAGGGAAGAAGGUGUUCGGAUCGGAAAACGCUGAUGGUAGUGAAGAUGAAGAACGCUAGUAAAUGAGCGGCAUAUGACGGUAACUAAUGAGAAAGCAACGGCUAACUACGUG